UGGGGCUUGUGGGAGCUAUCACCGGACAGCCAGGGAACCCUAAGGUCACCAUGCAGUUGUCCUUGCUCCCCUCUGCUUCCACAGGUCCUGGAUCCAGAGCUGGAGUUGGCUGACCUUGCCUUUCCACCACCUACAACAUCUGCUUCCUCACUGAAAAUGCAGGUGGGGUCACUCUGCUCUGGUAUAGAGAUUGCAUUGCCUCUAAUGGCCAAGCUGAUGGUGUCACUCAGCCUACCUCGAAGCUGACCUCAGGCUUCUCUGGCCUAGGCAGGAAGAAGUCUAGAGCAAAGGAGCUAUACAGAUAGGUGUGGUGACUGUGCCUGAGUCAGUACAGAACAGUCAAGGGGCUCUGGACAGGAACCAUUUGCUCAGCACUUGCAGGACUCACUUGGCUGAGAAGCAC
rnacentral:lncRNA from 1 species